rnacentral:lncRNA from 12 species
GCGCUGCAGCCCCGCGGAGCCGCGCGGGGUCAGGAAAAACGCCUCGACGUUCUUGGGGGGCAGCAGCAGCCCCCAGGGGUCACCUGGGGUCACCCAGGGAUCAGCGCUGGCGGCAGGCGGGGACCACGCCCCAGCUGACCACGCCCACCUGGCGACACACCUGGGGUCACCUGGGGUCACUGGGGUCACUCAGGGGUCACUGGGGUCACCUGGGGUCACUCAGCAUGGCCACCCCCAGCCAGGGGUCAGCCAGGGGUCACUCAGGGGUCACCUUGGGUCGCCUGGGAACACCAGUCCAUCCCAGUCCAUCCCAGUUCCCAUCCCAGUCCAUCCCAGUUCCCAUCCCAGUCCAUCCCAGUUCCCAUCCCAGUCCAUCCCAGUUCCCAUCCCAGUCCAUCCCAGUUCCCAUCCCAGUUCCCAUCCCAGUCCAUCCCAGUUCCCAUCCCAGUCCAUCCCAGUUCCCAUUGACCUGGAAGUGUCGCUUCCCCCAAGUGACGACGACGGGGCCACCGGAGUCACCUGGGGGGAGAAACUGGGAUGAACUGGGAGGGACUGGGAGAAGGGACAAGGCCACAGGACCUUUUGGGGGUUGGUUUUGGGGCGCUGUACUGGUCUGUACUGGUCUGUACUGGUUUGUACUGGUCUGUACUGGUUAAUAGUCAUUUAUACAGGUACAUACUGAUUCAUGCUAGUUUCUACUGGUUCCUACUGGUUUAUACUGGUUUAUACUGGUUUAUCCUGGUUUAUACUGGUUUAUACUGGUUUAUACCUGUCCAUACUGGUUUAUACAGGUUUAUACUGGUCCAUACUGAUUUAUACUGGCUCAUACUGCUUCAUACUGGUUUAUACUGGUUUAUACUGGUCUAUACCAGUCCAUGCUGAUUUGUACUAGUUUGUACUGGUCUAUACCAGUGUAUAUUGGUACUGGUUUGUACUGGUCUAUACCAGUGUAUAUUGGUUUAUACUGGUCUAUACUGGUCCAUACUGGUCCGUACUGGUGCGUACCGGGGCAGGCGUUGGGGUCCACCUGGGGCUCGUGGCCCCCCGAGCACAGGAACCGACCCUUACUGAUCUAUACUGGUUUAUACUGGUUUGUACUGGUUUAUGGGGGGGGGGGGGGGGGGGGGGGGGGGGGGGGGGGGGGGGGGGGGGGGGGGGGGGGGGGGGGGGGGGGG